rnacentral:tRNA from 1 species
CACGGCAGAGCUUGAUAGCUAAGCAUCUCUUUUACGCAGAGAAAAUAUUUGUGCAACUCAAAUUGCCUUGA